CGCCAUAAAAGCCGGGGAUUCAUUCCAAGACAAGGACUAGCUCUCAAACUGUCGUCGAAUGUUUUUGUCUCAUCCUGUAACAAAUGGUGGAACGACCCACGCCAUGGGCGGCAAUAUUGCCAUUGUCGUGUGACUCUCUAUCCUUAGAGAGCGGGAAACGCUAUUGAUUGAAAGUUCAAUCGCAGGUGGAGCAUUAGGAUUGGGUGGCACAUACGAGUCCCGAGCAUUGAGCCAAGAUGCUGGCCGGACCAAAUGGUUCAUUUGUCAAUACGCUCUUAAUGGAUCGUCAGGAACAGAAGAACAAGAAGAAUCUCAAGUAGUGAGUGGUGAGCACUGCAGAGAAGUCUUCUUCCGAGAGAACCCACAUGAAGGAAACGAACCGUGGAACAGACAUUGACAUAGAAUGCUCGAUCAUAAACGUGAUUGGAAGACGGAACACAUGGAUUAAGUCGCCUUGGAGCUUGGACCCAACCUGUCCAAGUGCUCUCACAACGCCCCAGGAUGAACACCCUACACAGUUAUCGUACGGUGUGUACACUAGUUCGAGCACUGUUUUGCCUGAGUACGAAAGUGAAUGAGCGAGUGGACCGUUGGAUUGCUUUGUUACUCCGAGACGUUGAUGUGGACCAUCUACAUACCGUACAUCUCAGCCAACAUGAACCAUUAUUUCGUUCCAACGCCGCUAAAGAGAGUACAUACCGAUGGAAGUGAGAUGCACUGAACACGUCAGACAUGGACAAGGUGUAUUUGAACAACAUGGGCGACUUUCCCCUUGACCGUAUUUAUCUUGGCGUUCCUAGUAAUCGUAGUGGCGUUCAGAGGGGCCCAUUGUGGAGUCUGGAUGACUUACUCCUCAAAUGGUACUCUAUCGUUAGUUCUGGAUUACUUGAAAGGUUAAUUCCUUUUUUUGCAUUUGUCUUCUUCUUCGAACCUUUUCGUCAUCAAUCAUCAUCCGCCAAUGCUUAUUGCCAUUCGCUUUUUUGUGGCCUGCCUGGAUCUUGCAUUGGAACAUAGUGGCCAUUAGGGCUCUCUAAUGAGACCCUAGGAUUACCAUGUUUGGUUCCAAAGUGAUGUGUACAAUGCACAAUAGAACAUGCGACAAAUAAGGCCUUUGAUUGGAGAGCUCUUUUGUUAACAAACCCUAGCAUUGCAGUGUGACAGUACAAAAAGCUCAGUAGUUGCACAAUAGAACGAGGACGAAACAAAAGGUUCAAAGAGUCUCGACGGGAAAGCCAAGAGCCCUGCCUCUGAAAAGAAAACCGUAGAAAUUACCGUGGGAAGUGUCCACCACAUGAAGAUCGUUGAAGGUAGCAAAUUGUCUUUGAUGUUUUCCGCUUUCAGUCCAACCGAGCGUGUGAAGGACGAUUUCUUGGUCUUCCUCCAAGCCUUGCCUCCCAGCAAUCGAGGGGGUCAAGCAAAAACGUGUACAAUGUGGUGCUAUAGGGAUUGUAAAUAGUGUUCUGAACCAUUUUGGCCCAAGGUGGGAGCCUCCAAGGUCUGUCCCAUACCCUAAACCUGGUGGUACGUACGUACGUACGUACGUACGUACUCACGUAGGUACUCUCUGCAAGUCUCCAAUGCUCCAUAUGAUGACAUGGAGAGCGAGAAGAAAAGGAUGAUUUGUCCACGUUGGCAGCCGCCCAGCUAAUCCAAUUUGAAAAGGCUCAAUGGAACUUGAAAUAAGCUUCAUGGACCGGAAGAUUAAAGCCCCUCUUUGAGAGAGCGACCGAGGCGACAGACCCUGCGUAUAAUGGUGGAACCAUGCUCCCGAACUCGAUUGCUUGCCUGCUUGCUUGCUUGCUUGCUUGCAUGUGGUGUGUAUGCGUUAGAGUCUGGAACAAGCUCCUCGUGGGAAUCCUCACGGUCACCUGAUCAAAAGCCAUAAAGCAAGAUUUAGUUGAUAAUGGCUUCCGUCUCGAACUUCACAAAGGACGAACAAUGAGAGGAAGAAAAGAAUCAUCGAGUUGCGACUUUCGAUCGAGUUCCCGAUGGAUGGAGAGAGAGAAAGAAAGAGAAAGAAAGAAAGCCUUGAUUGCUGACAAACAUGUGAAUUCCACUGGCAAGAACGGCAAGGCCACUCCAAACAAUUUCUUCCCAGGCCCUG